AGGGCGCAUGGCGGAUGCCUUGGCUCUCGGAGGCGAUGAAGGACGUGAUAAGCUGCGAUAAGCUUUGGGGAGGUGCAAAUGACCUUUGAUCCAGAGAUUUCCGAAUGGGACAACCCAAUAUCUUGAAGAGGUAUUAUCCAACGUUGUUGGAGGCUAACGCAGGGAACUGAAACAUCUUAGUACCUGCAGGAAAAGAAAAUAAACAAUGAUUCCCUCAGUAGUGGCGAGCGAACGGGGAACAGCCCAAACCAUCCAUGUUACGGCAUGGGUGGGGUUGUAGGACUACGCCGUUGCAUGAAGACAUCAGAGAAGAACUUUCUGGAAAGAAAGACCAUAGAGCAUGACAGUUGCGUAUUCGAAUGUUGUCGAAGCAUAGUAGUAUCCUGAGUAGCGCGGAGCACGAGGAAUUCUGCGUGAAUCUGCCGGGACCAUCCGGUAAGGCUAAAUACUCCCGAGAGACCGAUAGCGAACCAGUACCGUGAGGGAAAGGUGAAAAGCACUUCGAACAGAAGAGUGAAAUAGUUCCUGAAACCGUGCGCCUACAAGCGGUCGGAGCUCGUUAAUGAGUGACGGCGUGCCUUUUGCAUAAUGAACCUACGAGUUGCCUUUGCCGGCAAGGUUAAGUGUGACGACACACGUAUCCGAAGCGAAAGCGAGUCUGAACAGGGCGUAUAGUCGGCAGUGGCAGACGCGAAACCAAGUGAUCUACCCUUGGCCAGGUUGAAGGCUGGGUAACACCAGCUGGAGGACCGCACCAAUAAGCGUUGAAAAGCUUCUGGAUGAGCUGAGGGUAGGGGUGAAAGGCUAAUCAAACUUGGAGAUAGCUCGUACUCCCCGAAAUGCAUUUAGGUGCAGCCUUGCGGGUUACUGAUGUGAGGUAGAGCGACUGAUAAGAUGCGAGGGCUUCACCGCCUAUCAAGUCUUGACAAACUCCGAAUGCGCAUCAGUUCUACCGCAGGAGUGAGGGCAUGGGUGCUAAGGUCCGUGCCCGAGAGGAGAAGAAUCCGGACCACCUGCUAAGGUCCCGAAAUGACAGCUAAGUUAAACUAACGAAGUCUGACUGCUAAGACAGCUAGGAUGUUGGCUUGGAAGCAGCCAUUCAUUUAAAGAGUGCGUAACAGCUCACUAGUCGAGGAGUCGGGCGUGGAUAAUAAUCGGGUAUUAAGUUGUCUACCGAAGCAGUGGGAUCAUUAAUAUGAUCGGUAGGGGAGCAUUCCAGUCGGCGUCGAAGGCGUACCGUGAGGUAUUCUGGAGCGUCUGGAAAAGCAAAUGUAGGUAUAAGUAACGAUAAAGGGGGCGGGAAACCCCCUCGCCGAAAGACUAAGGUUUCCUGAUCAACGCUAAUCGGAUCAGGGUCAGUCGGGUCCUAAGGCUCAGCCGAACGGCGAUGCCGAUGGCAGAAACGGUUAAUAUUCCGUUACUACCUUCAGGAGUGACGUGGAGACGCAGUAGUGACAGUGCCGCCAUCUGACGGAAUAGAUGGUUGAAGGGUGUAGGAGUCGAUCAUGGCAGGCAAAUCCACCAUGAGAUCCGAACCUGACAGUAUGCCGCGUCCUUCGGGACAAGGCAAUAGUGCGCGUAAGCAUGCUGCCGAGAAAAUCCGCUAAACUUAAUCCUGCAGGUACCCGUACCGCAAACGGACACACGUAGUCGGGAUGAAUAUUCUAAGGCGCUUGAGUGAUUCACGGUUAAGGAACUAGGCAAACUGACCCUGUAACUUCGGGAUAAAGGGUCCCUACCCUUUUAUGGGAGGGCGCAGAGAAUCGGUCCAGGCAACUGUUUAACAAAAACACAGGGCUGUGCCAAAUCGAAAGAUCCAGUAUACAGCCUGACACCUGCCCGGUGCUGGAAGGUUAAGAGGAGAUGUCAUCGAUAAGAGAAGCGUUGAAUUGAAGCCCCAGUAAACGGCGGCCGUAACUAUAACGGUCCUAAGGUAGCGAAAUUCCUUGUCGGGUAAGUUCCGACCUGCACGAAUGGUGUAAUGAUCUGGACGCUGUCUCAACCGUGAGCUCAGUGAAAUUGUAGUAUCGGUGAAGAUGCCGAUUACCCGCGAUGGGACGAAAAGACCCCGUGAACCUUUACUAUAGCUUAUCAUUGAAUCUGGGCACGUGAUGUGUAGGAUAGGUCGGAGGCUUUGAAGCAGGUACGCCAGUAUUUGUGGAGCCGCUGUUGAAAUACGACCCUUUAUUUGUUUGGAUUCUAACCCGUGGAACGGGGACAUUGAUUGGUGGGUAGUUUGACUGGGGUGGUCGCCUCCAAAAGCGUAACGGAGGCUUCUAAAGGUGCCCUCCGGCCGAUUGGUAACCGGCCUUAGAGUGUAAUGGCAUAAGGGCGCUUGACUGGGAGACUGACAAGUCGAUCAGGUAGGAAACUAGAGCAUAGUGAUCCGGUGUUUCC
rnacentral:rRNA from 1 species